CCCUUAGAUGUUCUGGGCCGCACGCGCGCUACACUGACGAAGUCAGCGAGCAUGUCCUACGCCGGCAGGUGCGGGGAAUCUUGUGAAACUUUGUCGUGCUGGGGAUUGAUUUUUGAAAUUCUUGAUCAUGAACGAGGAAUUCCUAGUAAGCGCAAGUCAACAGCUUGCGUUGAUUACGUCCCUGCCCUUUGUACACACCGCCCGUCGCUACUGCCAACUGAGAUGGGUCCUGAAUUGUCAGGAACGCCCGUCAAGGGGCCUACCCGGUCCCUAGUGCGGUGACGAGAAUAACUGUAAAUGGCAUAUCUUGUAGGGAGUAAAAGUCGUAACA
rnacentral:rRNA from 1 species